rnacentral:rRNA from 1 species
UACGAAGGGGGCUAGCGUUGCUCGGAAUUACUGGGCGUAAAGCGCACGUAGGCGGAUUGUUAAGUCGGGGGUGAAAUCCUGGAGCUCAACUCCAGAACUGCCUUCGAUACUGGCGAUCUCGAGUUCGGGAGAGGUGAGUGGAACUGCGAGUGUAGAGGUGAAAUUCGUAGAUAUUCGCAAGAACACCAGUGGCGAAGGCGGCUCACUGGCCCGAUACUGACGCUCAUGCACGAAAGCGUGGGGAGCAAACAGG